UCGGGGGACGGGAGGCAGGGGAGGCCCCCGCAGGCCGGCCAGGGGCUGGGGGCUGGGGGCUGGGGGCCGGGGGCCGGCCGCCGGGCACCUGGGGCCCUCUCCCUCCCCUGGCACCACCCUCACCCCGCAGCUCCCCCCCAUACACACCCUCGCUGGAAAGUUCGCCCUGCCCGGGCUGGGCUCCCAGGCAGCCUGGCACCGUGCCAGGCUCGCCGCCGAGCUCGGGCAGCAGGGUGGGGCAAACGCGGAGCACGGAGGACGGGGCCGGGCGACCUGGGCACCAGCAGGACCCGAGGCCAGGAGCCAGGGGCCCAGAAGAUUGAGCUUCUAGAGCCUCAGAGAUGGAAUUCGCCGUUUUGCCGCGAUUUGGCGUUAACUUAUUGACCCACGGGGAGGAGGGUCACUUCCCCUGAAAAGAAGGCAGAGAUGUUUUGCUGUGCCCAGUGUGAGGAAGCGAAGGAAAAGAAAGAUCUUUUGAAAAUGUGUACGUCUACUUGCAGCUUGAAAAUUCCAAGUGCCAGACAUUUUUCUUGGAGGAAAUAAAUGUCUUCAAUUUAUUCAUCUUA